rnacentral:rRNA from 1 species
AUAAGCGGAGGAAAAGAAACCAACAGGGAUUGCCCUAGUAACGGCGAGUGAAGCGGCAACAGCUCAAAUUUGAAAUCUGGCCCCCGGGUCCGAGUUGUAAUUUGUAGAGGAUGCUUUUGGUGCGGUACCUUCCGAGUGCCCUGGAACGGGACGCCAUAGAGGGUGAGAGCCCCGUCUGGUUGGACGCCAAUCCUUUGUAAAGCUCCUUCAACGAGUCGAGUAGUUUGGGAAUGCUGCUCUAAAUGGGAGGUAUAUGUCUUCUAAAGCUAAAUAUUGGCCAGAGACCGAUAGCGCACAAGUAGAGUGAUCGAAAGAUGAAAAGCACUUUGAAAAGAGAGUUAAAAAGUACGUGAAAUUGUUGAAAGGGAAGCGCUCAUGACCAGACUUGGGCUUGGUUGAUCAUCCAGGGUUCUCCCUGGUGCACUCUUCCGGCCCAGGCCAGCAUCAGUUCGCUGUGGGGGAUAAAGGCUUCGGGAAUGUGGCUCCCUCGGGAGUGUUAUAGCCCGUCGUGUAAUACCCUGUGGCGGACUGAGGUUCGCGCAUUCGCAAGGAUGCUGGCGUAAUGGUCAUCAGCGACCCGUCUUGAAACACGGACCAAGGAGUCGUCUUCGUAUGCGAGUGUUCGGGUGUCAAACCCCUACGCGUAAUGAAAGUGAACGCAGGUGAGAGCUUCGGCGCAUCAUCGACCGAUCCUGAUGUUCUCGGAUGGAUUUGAGUAAGAGCAUACGGGGCCGGACCCGAAAGAAGGUGAACUAUGCCUGUAUAGGGUGAAGCCAGAGGAAACUCUGGUGGAGGCUCGCAGCGGUUCUGACGUGCAAAUCGAUCGUCAAAUAUGGGCAUGGGGGCGAA